AUUGAACGCUGGCGGCAUGCUUUACACAUGCAAGUCGAACGGUAACAGGCCGCAAGGUGCUGACGAGUGGCGAACGGGUGAGUAAUGCAUCGGAACGUGCCCAGUCGUGGGGGAUAACGCAGCGAAAGCUGUGCUAAUACCGCAUACGAUCUAUGGAUGAAGGCGGGGGACCGUAAGGCCUCGCGCGAUUGGAGCGGCCGAUGUCAGAUUAGGUAGUUGGUGGGGUAAAGGCCUACCAAGCCAACGAUCUGUAGCUGGUCUGAGAGGACGACCAGCCAAACUGGGACUGGGACACGGCCCAGACUCCUACGGGAGUCAGCAGUGGGGAAUUUUGGACAAUGGGCGCAAGCCUGAUCCAGCAAUGCCGCGUGCAGGAAGAAGGCCUUCGGGUUGUAAACUGCUUUUGUACGGAACGAAACGGUCUGGGUUAAUACCCUGGACUAAUGACGGUACCGUAAGAAUAAGCACCGGCUAACUACGUGCCAGCCGCCGCAGUAACAC
rnacentral:rRNA from 1 species